GAACGCCUCAUGUGAGCAGCCACAACACCGGUAGUGCAGUACAGAAGAAAGGUGACGGCAUGAAGUUGUUCAUUGUUCUGUGAACAACUUAGACGAACAAAUAAAAGAGAGGGGGUCUUCACGUGACACAAGGUGGCUCAGGUUGCACCGUGGGAGACCUUCCCGUCCUGCUCCGCACCCCACCCCCACCCAACAAACACACACCACUGAAACUUACCGGACGGUACGAAAUGGAGGACCUUUCUGCCUUCCAUGUUCUCUAGGGGUUCAGGGACCAUUGUCAGGCUCGAGGUGAGCAAUGUGGAAGGAUCCCAGGAUGCAGACAUGCGCAGUUUUAAUAGAGAUGCAAAAAAACAUAAGACAAGAAUACGACCAUGGGGAUACUACCAUGUGAGCUGGGCUCCUGGGCUGCAGGAUGGCAGAAGAAGACAAGACACUGAGGUACAGUAAGUCAAUCAGUAGGAGACUAACAUGCGGUAGCAGGAACAGCGAAAGGGAAUUAUCCAGCAUAGCCUAGCUGCAGCUGAAGUGAUUUUGAAUGGGAGCUAAUGAGGAACAGCUGCAGGGGUUCAGUAGCUCCGCCCAGCUGACAUUCAGAAGGUGUCAGGAUCUGAAGGAGUAUUUCACAAUGUAGCUUUCUUUUUUGUCCACCUCAGACAAAACAAGCCGUGCAACUAUCUCAUCCAAUUAAUGAUGAAUCUUGGAGGAAACACCUGGUUUAUCACUUCCUUUUCCAUUUAUUUUCUUUUUUAACCAUUUAUUUUGUUAAUUUUGUAUACUUGUAUUUCCUUAUUUCCUUUUUGUUGUGCAGCAACCUGUUCUGGCACUAUUUCACUCUGGAAAUUGGAUUGAAAAUUAUGCCACAUUUGCUGUAUGUUUUAUACUUUUGUCUAAAUAAAAAAAAUUGAAAUAAAAAAAUC